GUCCCUGUAGCGCAAUGAAUAGCGUGUUGGACUUCUAAUCCCGAGGUCGCGGGUUCGAGUCCCACCUGGGAUG